UUUUGUUGCCAAGCCUUCAGGGAAUACUUCAUACCCAAGCCACACACUUGACAAAAGCUAUUCCAGUGCCGAGGUUUGGUUCCCUGCUACACUGAUUAUAUUUGUUUUGGACUUGAAGACCAGAGAUGUACCAGGUAAAGACUUCACCCUCUGGAGAGGUGAGUCUCCUGAAAUCACCAACUGUUCGCCCAGGUUUGAGAACAAGAAACCAAUGCACCUCAUUGCACUGAUAGAAAAUCUCUGA
rnacentral:lncRNA from 1 species